UACAGAGGGGGCAAGCGUUAUUCGGAAUUAUUGGGCGUAAAGGGCGCGUAGGCGGCUUUGCAAGUGACGGGUGAAAUCCCUCGGCUUAACCGAGGAACUGCCUGUCAGACUGCAUGGCUUGAGACCGGGAGAGGUGAGUGGAAUUCCCAGUGUAGCGGUGAAAUGCGUAGAUAUUGGGAGGAACACCAGUGGCGAAGGCGGCUACCUGGACCGGAACUGACGCUGAUGCGCGAAAGCGUGGGUAGCAAACAGG
rnacentral:rRNA from 1 species